rnacentral:rRNA from 1 species
GACGAACGCUGGCGGCGUGCCUAAUACAUGCAAGUCGAACGAAACUUUCUUACGCCGAAUGCUUGCAUUCACCGUAAGAAGUUGAGUGGCGGACGGGUGAGUAACACGUGGGUAACCUGCCUAAAAGAAGGGGAUAACACUUGGAAACAGGUGCUAAUACCGUAUAUCUCUAAGGAUCGCAUGAUCCUUAGAUGAAAGAUGGUUCUGCUAUCGCUUUUAGAUGGACCCGCGGCGUAUUAACUAGUCGGUGGGGUAACGGCCUACCAAGGUGAUGAUACGUAGCCGAACUGAGAGGUUGAUCGGCCACAUUGGGACUGAGACACGGCCCAAACUCCUACGGGAGGCAGCAGUAGGGAAUCUUCCACAAUGGACGCAAGUCUGAUGGAGCAACGCCGCGUGAGUGAAGAAGGUCUUCGGAUCGUAAAACUCUGUUGUUAGAGAAGAACACGAGUGAGAGUAACUGUUCAUUCGAUGACGGUAUCUAACCAGCAAGUCACGGCUAACUACGUG